rnacentral:rRNA from 1 species
UAUCGUAAUUGAAGAGGUUUGGAAAGACCCACCACAGAAGGUAAUAGUCCUGUAUGUUAAACGAGAAGACUUUAGAUAUGAUCCAGAGUACCACGGGACACGUGAAACCCUGUGGGAAGCAGGAGGGACCACCCUCCAAGGCUAAAUACUACCUAGUGACCGAUAGCGUAUAGUACCGUGAGGGAAAGGGGAAAAGAACCCCGGGAGGGGAGUGAAAUAGAACCUGAAACCCUGCACUUACAAGCUGUGGAAGCACAUUUCUUGUGUGACCGCGUACUUUUUGUAGAACGGGCCAACGAGUUACGUUAAGUAGCAAGGUUAAGCACUUAAGGUG